GACGAACGCUGGCGGCGUGCUUAACACAUGCAAGUCGAACGGAAAGGCCCUGCUUUUGUGGGGUGCUCGAGUGGCGAACGGGUGAGUAACACGUGAGUAACCUGCCCUUGACUUUGGGAUAACUUCAGGAAACUGGGGCUAAUACCGGAUAGGAGCUCCUGCUCCAUGGUGGUGGUUGGAAAGUUUCGGCGGUUGGGGAUGGACUCGCGGCUUAUCCGCUUCUUGGUGGGGUAGUGACUUACCAAGGCUUUGACGGGUAGCCGGCAUGAGAGGGUGACCGGCCACAUUGGGACUGAGAUACGGCCCAGACUCCUACGGGAGGCAGCAGUGGGGAACAUUGCACAAUGGGCGGAAGCCUGAUGCAGCAACGCCGCGUGCGGGAUGACGGCCUUCGGGUUGUAAACCGCUUUCGCCUGUGACGAAGCGUGAGUGACGGUAAUUGGUAAAGAAGCACCGGCUAACUACGUG
rnacentral:rRNA from 1 species